rnacentral:lncRNA from 1 species
GUGCUGACUUGUGGCUGCGAUCUUCCACAUCCACAUACAAUCAUAUGUGCAUAAUUACUCAAACCUGACUAUGCAAAAUUGUGUCUAAUUUUAGAGACUACUUUAGAUAUUAUUACUGGGACCCUAAGGAUGCUCUAUAGAAGAAUUUAUGUACUCUUUGAGCACUCUUCUUUUCCAAAGACAAGCACUCACACUGAAAACCUCAACUUGAAUCAUCACAGGACAUGCUCCUUCCAUUGAUGCUGAAAUACACUGAUCACUGAAGAGGUUUCAGAAACUCAAGACAGAUGCUUCUCAGUUGGAGGCCUUUCCUGCAUAUGUUAACAAGGACUUUCCAUUUGCCAUUGAACUAUAAAAUAACAGGUCUGUGUGGUGAAGAGCAAACAACCUGGGUGAACUUAUGAUUGUGAGUGGAUGGAAACAGGCACAGUACUGCAGCAGAACACCAGCUGCAGCACAAAUCCGCAAAAGAGACUGUGGAACAUGUUCUAAGCAGAAGCUCUUCAGUGAGGCUGCAAGAAGAGAGUUUAGAAAUAAUACUGCUUUGGUUGUUCUAAUGAAGU